rnacentral:tRNA from 2 species
GCCCAGGUGUUGAAAUUGGUAGCCAAGCCACUUUGAGGGGGUGGUGCCCGUUCGGGCGUGCUGGUUCGAGUCCAGUCCUGGGCA